GACGAACGCUGGCGGCGUGCUUAACACAUGCAAGUCGAACGGAAAGGCCCUGCUUUUGUGGGGUGCUCGAGUGGCGAAUGGGUGAGUAACACGUGUGUAACCUGCCCUUGACUUUGGGAUAACUUCAGGAAACUGGGGCUAAUACCGGAUAGGAGCUCCUGCUGCAUGGUGGGGGUUGGAAAGUUUCGGCGGUUGGGGAUGGACUCGCGGCUUAUCAGCUUGUUGGUGGGGUAGUGGCUUACCAAGGCUUUGACGGGUAGCCGGCCUGAGAGGGUGACCGGCCACAUUGGGACUGAGAUACGGCCCAGACUCCUACGGGAGGCAGCAGUGGGGAAUAUUGCACAAUGGGCGGAAGCCUGAUGCAGCAACGCCGCGUGCGGGAUGACGGCCUUCGGGUUGUAAACCGCUUUCGCCUGUGACGAAGCGUGAGUGACGGUAAUGGGUAAAGAAGCACCGGCUAACUACGUGCCAGCAGCCGCGGUGAUACGUAGGGUGCGAGCGUUGUCCGGAUUUAUUGGGCGUAAAGGGCUCGUAGGUGGUUGAUCGCGUCGGAAGUGUAAUCUUGGGGCUUAACCCUGAGCGUGCUUUCGAUACGGGUUGACUUGAGGAAGGUAGGGGAGAAUGGAAUUCCUGGUGGAGCGGUGGAAUGCGCAGAUAUCAGGAGGAACACCAGUGGCGAAGGCGGUUCUCUGGGCCUUUCCUGACGCUGAGGAGCGAAAGCGUGGGGAGCGAACAGGCUUAGAUACCCUGGUAGUCCACGCUGUAAACGGUGGGUACUAGGUGUGGGGUCCAUUCCACGGGUUCCGUGCCGUAGCUAACGCUUUAAGUACCCCGCCUGGGGAGUACGGCCGCAAGGCUAAAACUCAAAGGAAUUGACGGGGCCCCGCACAAGCGGCGGAGCAUGCGGAUUAAUUCGAUGCAACGCGUAGAACCUUACCUGGGUUUGACAUGGAUCGGGAGCGCUCAGAGAUGGGUGUGCCUCUUUUGGGGUCGGUUCACAGGUGGUGCAUGGCUGUCGUCAGCUCGUGUCGUGAGAUGUUGGGUUAAGUCCCGCAACGAGCGCAACCCUUGUUCACUGUUGCCAGCACGUUAUGGUGGGGACUCAGUGGAGACCGCCGGGGUCAACUCGGAGGAAGGUGGGGAUGACGUCAAGUCAUCAUGCCCCUUAUGUCCAGGGCUUCACGCAUGCUACAAUGGCUGGUACAGAGAGUGGCGAGCCUGUGAGGGUGAGCGAAUCUCGGAAAGCCGGUCUCAGUUCGGAUUGGGGUCUGCAACUCGACCUCAUGAAGUCGGAGUCGCUAGUAAUCGCAGAUCAGCAACGCUGCGGUGAAUACGUUCCCGGGGCU
rnacentral:rRNA from 1 species